rnacentral:rRNA from 1 species
AGUGAACGCUGGCGGUAGGCCUAACACAUGCAAGUCGAACGGCAGCACAGUAAGAGCUUGCUCUUACGGGUGGCGAGUGGCGGACGGGUGAGGAAUACAUCGGAGUCUACUUUUUCGUGGGGGAUAACGUAGGGAAACUUACGCUAAUACCGCAUACGACCUACGGGUGAAAGCAGGGGAUCUUCGGACCUUGCGCGAUUGAAUGAGCCGAUGUCGGAUUAGCUAGUUGGCGGGGUAAAGGCCCACCAAGGCGACGAUCCGUAGCUGGUCUGAGAGGAUGAUCAGCCACACUGGAACUGAGACACGGUCCAGACACCUACGGGAGGCAGCAGUGGGGAAUAUUGGACAAUGGGCGCAAGCCUGAUCCAGCCAUACCGCGUGGGUGAAGAAGGCCUUCGGGUUGUAAAGCCCUUUUGUUGGGAAAGAAAAGCAGCAGGUUAAUACCCCGCUGUUCUGACGGUACCCAAAGAAUAAGCACCGGCUAACUUCGU